AAAAACAAUGAGCAAAACAGUGAGCAAAACAAUGAAAGGAGAGACUUGAAGAAACUUUGCCCUCCCUUGCUUGUUUUAGAACCCUUCUGCCACUUAUGAAGAAGGCUGCUGGAAGAUGACAGACCAGAUAAAGCGGAGAUCAGCGGUUCCAGCUGAGGCUUCCUUAGGCUACUCAGUCUGCCAACAAUCAGAUAGUGGGUUUUCAUUUGUUGACCUAAAAGGAAGAAGCUCAAGUAAAAUUAAGGACAUAUGACGCAGGGCAGAAGCCAGAAGCAACUGACCAUUUUGACCAGGGACCAGAAGCUUUCGGAUUUUAUCCUUCACAUCUGACAUAUACCAACACAGUCCACAUGGAUCACAGGGUGAUCAUGGGUGAGAUCUUGUUUUUGGAUUGCAAAAUGCUUAGGGAAUCAGAAAAUACCACUGGUGUUCUCUCAAAGUCCUCCUCCUCCAGGAAGCCUACCUGCAUUUAAGUGGGAUGGGGGAAGGUUCUCCAUGUUACCUUGUUCCUUUUCUGAAAUACUGUACCUGACAUAAUUCUACCUUGCAGCUGGCACCUAUCAGUGAAAGAAUGAAAAUAUGAUUGGAGAGGACUGGGGUGGAAAGAUCACUUGAGCCCAGUAA